GCCAAACAUUCUUCCAAUGGUUUUUGAGACCACAUGUUUCUCUACACCCAUGAUCUGGGGUGUCUGAGCCACUAUUUUCCUUAAUUGGACCUGUUUACCCUGGUAACUUGAAGAUAGGCAGAGCUCAGGAAAUAUGGGAUUUGGGACUGAACUCUGUAAAUGAAGAUUUUUCUGAAUGAAAUGCAGUUGAUUGCAGUUGAAUGAAGUGCAAGUGGUCUAAAGCAGAACUGAACAGGCCAACCCAAGAAUCUUCAUGGACAACUGGCUGGGAAUCCUGAGACUGGGAAAGUAAUACUUGCAUCAGUUUGGCCUUGAAUCUAGAAGGGCAAUGGUGAAAGACUUAAGGCCAGCGUUCCAGAGUGGUUGCAGCUUGAAGCUCUUCUCUGUUGGCCUGAAGCUGGAAGCUGGUCUGAGGUGCAGAGGAGCCAAAGGUCCCAGAUGCUCCAGGGGGUGACCACAAUGGUGAAAAUCACUAAGUAUUACUUAGUAAAACACUAACUUGAGAUGUGAACUAGCGAACCCCCAUCUGACAGAACCGUGAAGGCCUCCCUAGCCAGUUCACAGGGCAGAGGAUGAACAAAGUUUAUCUGCCUGAGCACCUCAUCGACUACUGCAGUUCCAGUCUUGUCUCCAUUCUGCCAUCUUGCGGCCUUUCCUGUUGCUGCAUUCAGCGUUCUAAUUGUCACAAGUGCCUUCAGAAAUAGGUACAAUAUUAUUAUCAACAAUUUGCAGAAGAGAGAAUUGAGAUGCAGACAGAUUAAGGAACUUGCUCAAGGACACACAGUCAUCUCCUGGAGGGGUAUGGAUUCGAAUCUAGGUCCAUCUGCUUAUAAAACUGGUGCUUUGUACCUAUCCUUGCUGUUUCAGUGGCACAUAGCGACUAUUUUCACAGGGACUUCGGUUCUGUUACUGCUUCAUAUUCACUUCAUUAUUGGAUUGAAAAUAAUUUCUUAAAGGGAACUAAGAAGCAUUAUCCAAAAAAUUUAACUAAAUAGAAGAGUUUAAACACACGUGUUUGUCCUCUUCUCAUUGAUGGAAAUCCGUCCUUUGGGUGCGGCGAUCAAUUUCUGUGACAGCCGAAACCAGAGCGCCAUCUGCUGGCUGAAAAGCUCGAGGAGUUGAAUGCGGGAGAAUUUGAAAACUGUAUGAUCACUAUCACUUUCCCCGACAAGAAAAUUCCCAGCAGUAACUUCAGACCAAAUGUGAGGGGAAGGUAGGAGAUAAUAGUAUUAGCCCUGAUUUUUAAAAAAAAUUAGCUUGAAAUUAAAUUCAUUUGCCAUAAAAUUAACCAUUUUAAAGUAAGCUGUUCACUGUAACUGUCAAGUACCUCUAUGGAGUUCCAAGGAUCAUUUCAUCCCUCCAACAGUAAACUCCAUUAUUUAUUAAACAAUUUUCUUGCUACCCUAUUACCUACAGCCCUGGACACUGCCAAUCUGCAAUCUAUCUCUAUAGAGUUAUCUCUUCUGGAUAUUUUAUAUAAAUGGAAUCAUGGAGAAUGUGUGAUGGUGUUUAGCUUCCUUCACUUUGCAUGAUGCUUUGUAGAUUCAUCCACAUCACAGCAUAUAUAAGAACUUCGUUUAUUUUUAUUGGUGAAUAACAUUCCAUUGUGUAUACACACACACAAUACACACACACACAACUGGUUUAUUCACUCAUGCAUCAGUGGAUAUCUGGACAAUUUCCAUCCAGAAUUGUGAAUCCUGCUCUUGUGAACAUGAGUAUACCUGUACUACUUGCCUGAAUACCUGUUUUCAAUUCCUGGAGAAAAUAUAUAGGAAUGAAAUUGCAUUAGCCCUGAUCAAAAACUGAAGAUGUGGAUGAAAAAAUCUGAAAAUGUAAAAUAAAAACAUUAUUUCAAUGGCAGGGAAAAAUAAGUAAUGGAUCUAAAGAAGGAACAUUUUUUUAAAAAUUCUUUUAUUUUUCAGAGACUUUGUCCACCAUAGUAGUUAAUAAAUAAGUGGACCUCAGACUGCUUAUCUUUACAAUAAGGAGAAUAUGACUUACUUCAUACAUUUGUACUAAAUAUUUAAUUGGAAAAUAGUGCUUUGUACAGUGAUAGCAAUUGUCAAAACCUCAACAAAUGUCAAUCUCUUGUUUCUUUAUUCUUGUAAAGGAAAUGGGUUUUGUUUACCAGAGAUUUCAGAAGAAUUGAAUGCAGUUCCACAACUAUAACAUUCUCUGAGGAAGGAAAUUGAGUUGAGUGGAGUGUUGAUCUAUGUGGUUGCUUAUAUACUGGUAAUGUAUAUUUUACCCCCUCUGGCUCUCUGCCCUGAUGAAUAUGGUGUUCAGUUUUUUCCUCUAGGAAGACAACUGACUCUAUUUUCAGUCUCGGGAGUUCCGCAUCACAAUGAAGAUGAUCUCAGAAUCACCUGUAAAAUAUUUGACAGAAACUAUUAAAAAGCCACAAAUAGUUUUUCUCUUUCCUAAAGCAUACAGAGUCCUUCUUUUGAAAAAGUAAUGUUAUGUAAAAAAAAUGCAAAAUCAUAUCCAAUGUGUUUUAGCUUUCAGUUCCUGUGAAUUCUUGCUCUGUUGAAAGAUUAGUGUGUCCAAAAGAAACCAUAUUGUUGUAACUUUGUCAUGUAGUAAGAAUCCCAAUUUGAGAAAAUUUUAGUUAUAAAUUAUGUGAGGAAAUUUUUAUCUGUGGCUGACUUGAUUUGGUGAGCACACUUGUUUCCACAAUAAAAUUAAUGUUAGGAUUUCA